rnacentral:rRNA from 1 species
UAUAUACUUUAAAAUUAAAAAAUUUGGCGGUGAUUUAAUCUUAUUAGAGGAAUUUGUUUUUUAAUCGAUAAACCACGUAGAAUUUUACUUAUUUUUGUAAGUAUUCAGUUUGUAUACCAUCAUUAUUAGAUAAUUCUUAAAGGAAUAAAAUUUUUGAAAUUAAUUGUUUAAUAAAAUUAGAUCAAGGUGCAGUCUAUGAAUAAGUUAAAAUGAAUUACAGUAAAUUAUUUUAUUACGGAAUAAUAAAUGAAACUAUAUUAUGAAGGAGGAUUUAAUUGUAUUAUAAGUUUAAUAGGCUUGUAAGAAAUAAGCUCUAAGUCGUGUACAUAUCGCCCGUCGCUUCCAUUACGUGAAAGGAAUAAGUCGUAACAUAGUAGAUAUACUGGAAAGUGUAUCUAGAAUUAA